GGACGACCGCUGGGGGCGUCCUAAUACAUACAAAGUCGAACGCUUCUUUCCUCCCGAGUGCUUGCCCUCAAAUUGGAAAGGGGGAGGGGCGGACGGGUGAGUAACACGUGGGGUAACCUACCCAUCAGAGGGGGAUAACACUUGGAAACAGGUGCUUAAUACCGCAUAACAGUUUAUGCCGCAUGGCAUAAGAGUAAAAGGCGCUUUUCGGGUGUCGCUGAUGGAUGGACCCCGCGGGUGCAUUAGAUAGUUGGUGAGGUAACGGCUCACCAAGGCCACGAUGCAUAGCCGACCUGAGAGGGUGAUCGGCCACACUGGGACUGAGACACGGCCCAGACUCCUACGGGAGGCAGCAGUAGGGAAUUUUCGGCAAUGGACGAAAGUCUGACCGAGCAACGCCGCGUGAGUGAAGAAGGUUUUCGGAUCGUAAAACUCUGUUGUUAGAGAAGAACAAGGACGUUAGUAACUGAACGUCCCCUGACGGUAUCUAACCAGAAAGCCACGGCUAACUACGUGCCAGCAGCCGCGGUAAUACGUAGGUGGCAAGCGUUGUCCGGAUUUAUUGGGCGUAAAGCGAGCGCAGGCGGUUUCUUAAGUCUGAUGUGAAAGCCCCCGGCUCAACCGGGGAGGGUCAUUGGAAACUGGGAGACUUGAGUGCAGAAGAGGAGAGUGGAAUUCCAUGUGUAGCGGUGAAAUGCGUAGAUAUAUGGAGGAACACCAGUGGCGAAGGCGGCUCUCUGGUCUGUAACUGACGNNGAGNCUCGAAAANNNNGNNNA
rnacentral:rRNA from 1 species